rnacentral:rRNA from 1 species
GACCUUACCAGGGCUUGACAUCCCGCGAACCUGGUGGAAACACUGGGGUGCCCGCAAGGGAACGCGGAGACAGGUGGUGCAUGGUUGUCGUCAGCUCGUGUCGUGAGAUGUUGGGUUAAGUCCCGCAACGAGCGCAACCCCUGCCCUUAGUUGCCAGCACUUCGGGUGGGCACUCUAAGGGGACUGCCGGUGACAAACCGGAGGAAGGUGGGGAUGACGUCAAAUCAUCAUGCCCCUUAUGCCCUGGGCUACACACGUGCUACAAUGGCCGGUACAAAGGGAUGCGAAGCCGCGAGGCUGAGCGGAUCCCAAAAAGCCGGUCUCAGUUGGGAUCGCAGGCUGAAACUCGCCUGCGUGAAGGCGGAAUCGCUAGUAAUCGCCGGUCAGCACACGGCGGUGAAUACGUUCCCGGGCCUUGUACACACCG